rnacentral:rRNA from 1 species
AUUGAACGCUGGCGGCAGGCCUAACACAUGCAAGUCGAGCGUGAAAGUCCUUCGGGAUGAGUAAAGCGGCGGACGGGUGAGUAACGCGUAGGAAUCUACCUGAUAGUGGGGGAUAACGUCGCGAAAGGGACGCUAAUACCGCAUACGUUCUGAGGAAGAAAGCAGGGGAUCGCAAGACCUUGUGCUAUCAGAUGAGCCUGCGUCCGAUUAGCUAGUUGGUGGGGUAAAGGCCUACCAAGGCGACGAUCGGUAACUGGUCUGAGAGGAUGAUCAGUCACACUGGAACUGAGACACGGUCCAGACUCCUACGGGAGGCAGCAGUGGGGAAUAUUGGACAAUGGGGGCAACCCUGAUCCAGCCAUGCCGCGUGUGUGAAGAAGGCCUUCGGGUUGUAAAGCACUUUAAGCGGUGAGGAAGGCUCCAUGGUUAAUACCCAUGGGGAUUGACGUUACCCGCAGAAUAAGCACCGGCAAACUUCGUGCCAGCCGCCGCCGUAA